GACGAACGCUGGCGGCGUGCUUAACACAUGCAAGUCGAACGGUGAAGGUGGAGCUUGCUCCGCCGGAUCAGUGGCGAACGGGUGAGUAACACGUGGGCAACCUGCCCCUAACUUUGGGAUAACUACUCGAAAGAGUAGCUAAUACCGGAUAUGAAGUCUGUAGGCAUCUACGGAUUUGGAAAGUUUUUCGGUUAGGGAUGGGCCCGCGGCCUAUCAGCUUGUUGGUGAGGUAGUGGCUCACCAAGGCGACGACGGGUAGCCGGCCUGAGAGGGCGACCGGCCACACUGGGACUGAGACACGGCCCAGACUCCUACGGGAGGCAGCAGUGGGGAAUAUUGCGCAAUGGGCGAAAGCCUGACGCAGCAACGCCGCGUGCGGGAUGAAGGCCUUCGGGUUGUAAACCGCUUUCAGCAGGGAAGAAGCGAAAGUGACGGUACCUGCAGAAGAAGCACCGGCUAACUACGUGCCAGCAACCGCAGUAA
rnacentral:rRNA from 1 species